rnacentral:misc_RNA from 1 species
AACGCACCUUGCACCCUUUGGUAUUCCGAAGGGUAUGCCCGUUUGAGUGUCUUGAAACUCUCAAAGCUUCACGCUUUUGUAAUGAAAGUGGGAACGCUUUGGACUUGGACGUUGUUUGCUGGCCUGGUUUCAGCUCGUCCCAAAUGCAUUAGCUGGCCUUAGUAAUGGCUUCUGCUUGCCCGGUGUGAUAAGUCACUCGCUGGGUUUGAAGCUGUGAAGGGUUGCUUCUAACCGUCUGCAAGGACAGUGUUGCUUUUAAGUGUUUGACCUCAAAUCGGGUAGGAUUACCCGCUGAACUUAA